rnacentral:lncRNA from 1 species
AAUUCAUUCAGUAAUUGACGACACAACAUUUUGCAUGGCAUAUUGGUGGUUUGUUACAUCUAAAGCUUAAUUAGUGUAAUUUUAUGCUUUAAACUUUAAAGCAAUGGCUGAUUCUUUCUACUUUGCAAAUGAAAGAAAAGGGAUUGCAAGAUUUAAAUCAUAGGACAUAUAUCUACCUAGUUGUCUUUUACAUGUAUUAUUGCUUUGGUUCUUGGCACAUGAACUUUGUGUUAGUGGGGAAUGUUGAUCCUCACACUUCACCAUCCGUGUCACGGACUUCGCAAUGAAAAGAAAAACUAAUAGGACAAAACUAUUUUUUAUAGUCUUUCUUUUCAUUCAAAUCAUCAUCCAUAUUAGGUGUUUUCAAUUAAAAAUGCAAUAUACAAAGUCUUUAUCUUUAGACUUAGUUACUUUACAAUAAACCAAAACCAUUAAAUUGUACUUGCCGCAGCCUUAAUGGAUUUUCGUAUAAAGCUAACUAUUGUGUAAGAUAUGAUUUCAAGAUUGUUAGGAUUUCAACAAUCUCAACUGAAAUCAAUUGGUGUCUAGUGAAGGUAAGCUAAUUUAUUUUUUUAUUUUUUUAUGACAUUCGGUCACUAUCAUUUGAGUGUCACAACUCACAAACUUAAGAGUAAUCUUAUUGCACCUCGACAAUCCCUCUAUUAACAAAACCUUGUUAAGAUUGAAUUUCAACAAUCUCAUCCGAAAACCAAUUAUUGUUGGCACAAUCGUGAUGAGUCAGUCAGUUCAUGCAUUGGUUGGAACUCAUUUGCUACACGGGUUUUAUUAUCAAAAGGGUGAAUAUUCAAUUUUCAUAUCUAUCUUUACUAAUCCAUAUUAUUAAAUCAAUUUUUGUAGCAUGAAAGUUAUCCUUGGUUGCUUGUGAUGCUAGAAUUCAAUUUAAAAUACCUCCUAAUAUUUUUUCUGAAUUCAUUACUAAAAGUUUCCUUUUGUGAUCUAUUCAUAUAUUCUUACAUUUCUUAUUGGGGUAUUUUUUGGUAAGAAAUUAAUUUUUUUGUUUCUCCUUUUCCAUACCUAGGAUUGAGGCAGAGAAAAUAAUCAUGCCUUGAAAUACACAAACUGAGCAUUACGUUUUUCUUGGAGAAAAAAAAAAAAAAAAAAAAGAGGGACUCCUCGAGCUUUCUUGAGAAAAUAAUUUUUGUUAAAUUUUGGUCUUCAAUUGGUCAAAAAUGUUGUAGAUUGUGCGAAAAUUGAAUUCUCUAUAGAGACGGCAUCUCGGGAUGAAAGUAAGAACGAAUUCCUUUUUCCAACUUGUGGAAUAUUCCAUAUGCACUCAUGAUAGUGGCGGUUCCAUUUUUCUACAAUCCAAAAGGACAAGCAACAAGGAAAGUUUGCUUACUCGCUUUUGAAUUUAUUAUUUAUUUUGAUUUUAUGAUUUAAUUUUAAAAUAUUCGAGACGUUGUGUCACGUUUUGUAUAGUGAAUUAUUGAUUCGUAGCAUGGUUAGGUUGAUAUUCCCUUAGGGAUUUGCCAUAUUAUAUUGUGAUGGGUUUACCAUUAUUUGAAUUAAUUUAUUGUUCAAUACGGAUUCUAAUGUAAACAUUUUCUAUGGUUUUUUUCUCUAUUUAGUUAACUCUUUUACCUCUUCAAUAUCCACGAACAUCAACUCAAUUUUUG